rnacentral:tRNA from 1 species
GUUCCCGUAGCUCAGCUGGAUAGAGCGGCGGUUUCCUAAACCGCAGGUCGCGUGUUCGAACCACGCCGGGAACA